CCUACGGGAGGCAGCAGUAAGGAAUAUUGGACAAUGGGCGAAAGCCUGAUCCAGCCAUGCCGCGUGAAGGAUUAAGGCCCUCUGGGUUGUAAACUUCUUUUAUAGGGGACGAAAAAAGGGAAUUCUUUCCCUCCUGACGGUACCCUAUGAAUAAGCACCGGCUAACUCCGUGCCAGCAGCCGCGGUAAUACGGAGGGUGCAAGCGUUAUCCGGAUUCACUGGGUUUAAAGGGUGCGUAGGCGGGUAGGUAAGUCAGUGGUGAAAUCUCGAAGCUUAACUUCGAAACUGCCAUUGAUACUAUUUAUCUUGAAUAUUGUGGAGGUUUGCGGAAUAUGUCAUGUAGCGGUGAAAUGCUUAGAUAUGACAUAGAACACCUAUUGCGAAGGCAGCAGGCUACGCAUAUAUUGACGCUGAGGCACGAAAGCGUGGGGAUCAAACAGGAUUAGAUACCCUGGUAGUCCACGCCCUAAACGAUGAUUACUCGACAUUUGUGAUACACUAUAAGUGUCUGAGNGAAGACAUAAGUAAUACACCUACGGAGACGACCGAACGAGUAGUUAAAGUUAAAGUAAAGUUAAGUUAGACGNGNGAGAGCGACGACGACGACGACGGAGGAGGAG
rnacentral:rRNA from 1 species